UGGGGAAUUUUGGACAAUGGGGGAAACCCUGAUCCAGCCAUCCCGCGUGUGCGAUGAAGGCCUUCGGGUUGUAAAGCACUUUUGGCAGGAAAGAAACGUCAUGGGUUAAUACCCCGUGAAACUGACGGUACCUGCAGAAUAAGCACCGGCUAACUACGUGCCAGCAGCCGCGGUAAUACGGAGGGUGCAAGCGUUAAUCGGAAUUACUGGGCGUAAAGCGUGCGCAGGCGGUUCGGAAAGAAAGAUGUGAAAUCCCAGAGCUCAACUUUGGAACUGCAUUUUUAACUACCGGGCUAGAGUGUGUCAGAGGGCGGUGGAAUUCCGCGUGUAGCAGUGAAAUGCGUAGAUAUGCGGAGGAACACCGAUGGCGAAGGCAGCCUCCUGGGAUAACACUGACGCUCAUGCACGAAAGCGUGGGGAGCAAACAGG
rnacentral:rRNA from 1 species